rnacentral:ncRNA from 1 species
UAACUUUAAGCGCCUGGACAUAUUAGUAUGUUGAAUCAGUAUGUUGACGAGGUCUAGAGUUAUCGAAAGAUUCGGCGGAUACUCUAGUGGUAUAUUACUACCAAAGGUAUAUAUAAAAAGCAAUUGUGAAAUUGUAACAAAGUAUAUACUAG